GUGCGAGUCCCUCAUCUCAGCUUUGGUUGCUGUGCAGAUGGCUCUUUGUUGGUGCUUCACAAUGGGUCUAAGGACCUGCCUGAAAGCCAGAGAAGGCCACAUGGACCAUGCAGGACACUGCUGUUCAAAACAAAAGAGCUCAGUUUGCCUCCACCAGUUCUUCCAAUUAUCGGGACCCCUCCCCCGCCUAAUCCCGACCUCUGCUCUUUGAUGGGCCCCACUUAGCUUUCAGCGCUGACAUUCCUCAGGUCGGGUCAGGCCUUUGUCCUGAGGAAAUUAAGCCUACAUGCUGCAGCAGUUUGAUUCAUUUCUUUACCUGCUGGAUGAAACAGGCGGCCCAUACAUGACUUUUUUUCCUCUUUGUAACAAAUCG